UACGUAGGGUGCAAGCGUUGUCCGGAAUUAUUGGGCGUAAAGAGCUCGUAGGCGGUUCGUCACGUCGGCUGUGAAAACCUGAGGCUCAACCUCAGGCCUGCAGUCGAUACGGGCGGACUUGAGUACUGCAGGGGAGACUGGAAUUCCUGGUGUAGCGGUGAAAUGCGCAGAUAUCAGGAGGAACACCGGUGGCGAAGGGCG
rnacentral:rRNA from 1 species